UCCAGCAGUAGUCAGCUGUCUGCCUCAGUACCAUGUCAGUAACAGUGUUACACUGCUGGGAGAGCAAGAUACUGUCUAUUUAACCUGCCUGUUAUUGUCUCCGUUUUGGAGACAAUGGAGAACAGCAUAUGGCAGUGUUGUGCUUCUCUUGAGAGUGUGCAGAACAGCCGACAUCCUGUUUUGCACUAGAAGGGAAGCAUACACG